CAACAAGUGAAUGUCAUAGGACGAAAGACUUUCUGAACAUACAGAAUAAUUCUGGAAAGGGAAAGGGGAAUUUCCAUUAACUUUUCGUGAAGUUUGCCAUGGAUUUUUCCCUCCACUCUGUUCUUUUGGUUAACUGGAAAUUGCAAGUCCUGAAAAUAAGUCAAUGUUCAUUUGGGAGAUGGCAAAUGCAAUGAUGGAAGAUUGAUUUGUUUCUUGUAACACCUCUCUGGACUAUGAAUGUAAAAGGAAUGACCUUCCCCUGAUUAGCAUACCUUUUGCUGUAUUUUUCUAGUCUGAACACAUGCUGUGAAGAAAUUGUC